rnacentral:rRNA from 1 species
AUGGACGUUCAUGGGGGCAGCCUCGAUUGGGCACACAUGGGCCAAACUAGUCAAGGAAAGGCGGGGAAUCAGAGGGAAGGCGGCGGCGGAGCAGCGCCAGGGCGUGGCGGCGCCGGAGCCAGCCGGCAACGGCCGGAGCAGAGGAUGGAGGUGCCGGCGACAUGCACGGGGGAGGAAGUAGAGAAGGGGAUCGACCGCUUCAUGUGUUGUUGUUGUCCGCUUUUAUGUGUUGUGCGUUGGGUGGAUCCACCGGCCGCAUUUGUCCGCCCCAUGUCCGCUAGGCGGACAGAUGACCUAAACGGAUAA